rnacentral:rRNA from 1 species
UCUGGUUGAUCCUGCCAGUAGUCAUAUGCUUGUCUCAAAGAUUAAGCCAUGCAUGUCUAAGUAUAAAUAGUAUACAGUGAAACUGCGAAUGGCUCAUUAAAACAGUUAUAGUUUAUUUGAUAAUUGACAAUUACAUGGAUAACCGUGGUAAUUCUAGAGCUAAUACAUGCUUAAACGCCCGACUUUAUGGAAGGGUGGUAUUUAUUAGACUGAAGCCAAUAUUCCUUGUGUCUAUUGCGGUGAUUCAUAAUAACUGAUCGAAUCUCUUUUUGAGAUAAAUCAUUCAAGUUUCUGCCUAUCAGCUUUCGAUGGUAGUGUAUUGGACUACCAUGGCAGUAACGGGUAACGAAGAAUUAGGGUUCGAUUUCGGAGAGGGAGCAUGAGAAACGGCUACCACAUCUAAGGAAGGCAGCAGGCGCGUAAAUUACCCAAUCCUGACUCAGGGAGGUAGUGACAAGAAAUAGCAAACCGGGAACCUCAUGGUUUCACGGUAUUGCAAUGAGAACAAUUUAAAACCCUUAGCGAGAAUCAAGUGGAGGACAAGUCUGGUGCCAGCACCCGCGGUAAUUCCAGCUCCACUAGCGUAUAUUAAAGUUGUUGCAGUUAAAAAGCUCGUAGUUGAACCUCUGUCUGGGGCUAGUUUUGGCUUUGGUCAGGCUAGUUCUAGGCAUCCGCCUACAAGACUUAGAGGGCAUUCAGUUGUUCACUAGGAGGAGUAGGCAUUUUACUUUGAAAAAAUUAGAGUGUUUAAGGCAGGCAAUCGCCCGCAUAUAUUAGCAUGGAAUAAUAGAAUAGGACACUUUUCCAUUUCGUUGGUUAUUGGAAUCGUGUAAUGAUUAAUAGGGACAGUUGUGGGCAUUUGUAUUUAAUUGUCAGAGGUGAAAUUCUUGGAUUUAUUAAAGACAAACUAACGCGAAAGCAUUUGCCAAGGAUGUUUUCAUUAAUCAAGAACGAAAGUUAGGGGAUCAAAGACGAUCAGAUACCGUCCUAGUCUUAACUAUAAACUAUUCCGACUCAAUGUUUGACUGGCUUAUAUAACCAGUUGAGCGUUGUAUGAGAAAUCAAAGUCUUUAGGUUCUGGGGGGAGUAUGGUUGCAAAGCUGAAACUUAAAGGAAUUGACGGAAGAGCACAACCAGGAGUGGAUUCUGCGGCUUAAUUUGACUCAACACGGGGAAACUUACCAGGUUAAAACAAUAGUGGGAUUGACAGUUUGAGAGCGCUUUCUUGAUUGGUUGGGUGGUGGUGCAUGGCCGUUCUUAGUUGGUGGAGUGAUUUGUCUGCUUAAUUGCGUUAACG